CUGAGAGCUCUAAGAGGAGAGAUUUUAUCAUUCAUCUGAUAAACGCUCACACUAGUUCUGUGUGGUAGAAAGACAGAUGUGUUGUUUGCAUAUGUGAGCUGCUUCACUACUCCACACACUUUAAGAGCUGUAGUGGUGAUCAGAGAGUGUUCAGUCCUUUAACACACACUGACACACAGCACAAUGAUGAUGUCACUCAUUCUACUGCUGGGGACACUGGGACUCCUCACUCAGGAAUCAUUUGGAGAGAUAAUCCUGACGCAGUCUCCAGGAUCUCAGUCUGUUACACCAGGACAGACUGUUACUAUCAGCUGCAGGGUCAGUGAGGAUAUUGAUGAAGACCUCCACUGGUACCUGCAGAAACCUGGAGAAGCUCCUAAACUCCUGAUCUAUGCUGCAUCAAACCGUCAGUCUGGGAUUCCAGAUCGUUUCAGUGGUAGUGGAUCUGGUACAGACUUUACUCUAAAAAUCACUGGAGUCCAGGCUGAAGAUUCAGGAGAUUACUACUGUCAGCAGGGUUACAGCACUCCAUUCACACAGUGUUAG